GACGAACGCUGGCGGCGUGCUUAACACAUGCAAGUCGAACGGAAAGGCCCUGCUUUUGUGGGGUGCUCGAGUGGCGAACGGGUGAGUAACACGUGAGUAACCUGCCCUUGACUUUGGGAUAACUUCAGGAAACUGGGGCUAAUACCGGCUAGGAGCUCCUGCUGCAUGGUGGGGUUUGGAAAGUUUCGGCGGUUGGGGAUGGACUCGCGGCUUAUCAGCUUGUUGGUGGGGUAGUGGCUUACCAAGGCUUUGACGGGUAGCCGGCCUGAGAGGGUGACCGGCCACAUUGGGACUGAGAUACGGCCCAGACUCCUACGGGAGGCAGCAGUGGGGAAUAUUGCACAAUGGGCGGAAGCCUGAUGCAGCAACGCCGCGUGCGGGAUGACGGCCUUCGGGUUGUAAACCGCUUUCGCCUGUGACGAAGCGUGAGUGACGGUAAUGGGUAAAGAAGCACCGGCUAACUACGUG
rnacentral:rRNA from 1 species